AGGGUAAGACUGAUGCAUUUAGUUACACAGGCCAGGCGAAUUGUUUUGACUGAAUGUGUAUAUAUUCUUUGCGUACUAGUUUUACUGAGUUCAUCUUUAAAUGAGCUAAUCUAAAUGGAUGUGAGUUAAAGGUCUAUGGAAUAUCUUUUGAGGAGGAGAAAACUCCUAAAUACAAAAAUACUCGCUAAAAUUCAACGCUGCCAACAGACUCCCACAGAAGGAUGUGACAUAUUUUCCCUGAAUAGUGCCAAAGAGGUUGUGAAACUUUUUAAAGAAGAAUUUUGGCAAGAACAGAAGUUAGAAAACCAAGAGGAAGAUGAGGAACAUUGGUCAGAUUUUGACACCGUGAUCUUAUGCUGGAUCUGGAGUCUGUUAUAUAGAACUCACUUCAAACACAACAACAGUCACACAGAAUGAUAUCACCGUGCUGCUGUUCUAUUUAAAAUGGGAUGCUGUCUGUAUGGCUUUCGUUCAGUCAUAUAUAGAGGUGGCAGAUGCUCUUGAAGGUAAAUGCAUUUCAAUGAUAA